UUUUUUAUUUAUAUGUACAGAAACAAUACGACGAUAAAUCAUAGCAGAAAAACAAAAUCGAAAGUAACCGAUGUCACGUAUAAUUUAUCAUGGUACCUACUUUUAGGGAAUCAAGGUAAUCCGAGUAAACUUAGUAACGAGAUCACACCUCAAUGGGAGUGAUGUUAUCGAAAAUACCGACCGUGCUAAUGAUAUUCGUUGUUUCCGAAAAGGAUUAAGUCGGUUACUUUACGUCAUAACAGUGUGAUGCACACACGGUGCAAAUGAUUGGGAGUUAUUUGAUG